rnacentral:rRNA from 1 species
UACGUAGGGGGCAAGCGUUAUCCGGAUUUACUGGGUGUAAAGGGAGCGUAGACGGUGCGCCAAGUCUGGAGUGAAAUGCCGCGGCUUAACUGCGGAACUGCUUUGGAAACUGGGAGACUUGAGUGCAGAAGAGGAGAGUGGAACUCCAUGUGUAGCGGUGAAAUGCGUAGAUAUACGGAGGAACACCAGUGGCGAAGGCGGCCUGCUGGACAAUAACUGACGCUGAGGCGCGAAAGCGUGGGGAGCAA